rnacentral:rRNA from 1 species
UUUAAAGAGAGUUUGAUCCUGGCUCAGGACGAACGCUGGCGGCGUGCCUAAUACAUGCAAGUCGAACGAACGGAGGAAGAGCUUGCUCUUCCAAAGUUAGUGGCGGACGGGUGAGUAACACGUGGGCAACCUGCCUGUAAGUUGGGGAUAACUCCGGGAAACCGGGGCUAAUACCGAAUGAUAAAGUGUGGCGCAUGCCACGCUUUUGAAAGAUGGUUUCGGCUAUCGCUUACAGAUGGGCCCGCGGUGCAUUAGCUAGUUGGUAGGGUAAUGGCCUACCAAGGCAACGAUGCAUAGCCGACCUGAGAGGGUGAUCGGCCACACUGGGACUGAGACACGGCCCAGACUCCUACGGGAGGCAGCAGUAGGGAAUCUUCCGCAAUGGACGAAAGUCUGACGGAGCAACGCCGCGUGUAUGAAGAAGGUUUUCGGAUCGUAAAGUACUGUUGUUAGAGAAGAACAAGGAUAAGAGUAACUGCUUGUCCCUUGACGGUAUCUAACCAGAAAGCCACGGCUAACUACGUGCCAGCAGCCGCGGUAAUACGUAGGUGGCAAGCGUUGUCCGGAUUUAUUGGGCGUAAAGCGCGCGCAGGCGGUCUUUUAAGUCUGAUGUGAAAGCCCCCGGCUUAACCGGGGAGGGUCAUUGGAAACUGGAAGACUGGAGUGCAGAAGAGGAGAGUGGAAUUCCACGUGUAGCGGUGAAAUGCGUAGAUAUGUGGA